AGGACGAACGCUGGCGGCGUGCUUAACACAUGCAAGUCGAGCGGAAAGGCCCUUCGGGGUACUCGAGCGGCGAACGGGUGAGUAACACGUGAGUAAUCUGCCCCUAGCUCUGGGAUAGCUCCGGGAAACCGGGAUUAAUACCAGAUACGACCACUUUAGACAUCUGUUGUGGUGGAAAGAAUUUUGGCUAGGGAUGAGCUCGCGGCCUAUCAGCUUGUUGGUGAGGUAACGGCUCACCAAGGCGACGACGGGUAGCCGGCCUGAGAGGGCGACCGGCCACACUGGGACUGAGACACGGCCCAGACUCCUACGGGAGGCAGCAGUGGGGAAUAUUGCGCAAUGGGCGAAAGCCUGACGCAGCGACGCCGCGUGGGGGAUGAAGGCCUUCGGGUUGUAACCCCUUUCAGCAGGGACGAAGCGAAGUGACGGUACCUGCAGAAGAAGCGCCGGCUAACUACGUGCCAGCAGCCGC
rnacentral:rRNA from 1 species